rnacentral:lncRNA from 1 species
GGGCCUUGUGAUCUGGGAUAUGCCGAUAUCCUUCCUCGACUGCGUAAAAACAUCUUCAUCUGGCUGCUUCCAGCAAGGAGGAGGUACAAAGCCAAAGAGGGGCGUUCUCUUGAUUUUGGAGUUAGUAUUUAUUUCUGUCGGAUGUGUUUCUCCUGCUCAUUUACUCAGCUCACUAAAAAGCUGCCAGUUCUGCAGGAGGCUCAGAGGAAGCGACGGCUCUGCAGCCAUUCUGGGCCCUGCACAAGCUGCUUCUCGCUGGGACACACAGAGGAGCCGGUGGGACCCCUGCACAGUGGCUGUGAGGGGGGCUGGGGCUGGUCCUGGAGGCGUGGGCUCCACCCCUCCUGAGCCUGCUCCCGCCUCCUCCCUUCACUCUGCACCCGCGACCUCACGAGGAGUCCCCUGGGACACGUACGCUGGGAAGAUGUUUUAGCCUCAUUUAUAGGUGAUUGUACCCCGGGUGUUGGAAGCAUCCAAGGUGCACAGUUAGCCGUACUCACAGUGGUCCCAUAGGAAGGCAGCAAAGGGAGAGAGCUUCUCAGGAGAUGAGCCGUGAGCAGCGCCCUUGUUUCUCCACUUUGUCAGAGAGAGUCAACUAGAAGUUUGGAGCUGCAUAGACUUUUAAACAAUAAGCAAAAGGUGAGUGGGACAAAGUUGGACAUUUGGUGACAAUGAGAAAGUGUAUGUGAAUAGAUCUCUCAGAAUGCACACACCGAAGAGAAACUCAUGGACAGUAGUCCUAUGGACAGUAGUCAGCCUCUCUUCCUUACCAUGGACCAGGGACCAUGGUGACGAAGACGGUGGCCCUGCCUGUUUAUCAAGACGCAGUCCUGCUACAGCCCCUUCUCAGUGCAGUCUUCCAGGGCAAGGGUCCAACAGUGAGCGCCCUUACGGCCAGCCACCUGGAUGGCACCUCCACUGGAGCGGGACCAAGGAUACAGAUUUGCUUUCCAGUAUUUCUGCCCAAACGACCGUCUGUGGAUUUACUAAAUGCCUUUAUUGCUGUCGUGUUAUUCCUCACUUCACAGGAGCUAAAGCACAGCCGUGGGCUUGUGCUCGUGUAACUCACUGGUCUUGCCGUGUCCCCUUUACCCGGGAAUGUUGGCACUCUCAGGAUGGCGGGGGGCCAGCUGAAAGCUCUGUGGUGCAGCUGAAUGGCGUCCCUUGCGGGGGGCUGGGGUAGAGUCCUCCUGGGUGGGACUUCGCUUUGCGUCCCCAGCUGGUAGCAACUGGCCACGUCCUCCUCAUCGACGUUAUGCCCGUGGAAUGACGGUGAUUAUUUUGAGAAGGCUGCAGUGGGACAGCUGUCCCUCCCUCUCUGACGAUAGUAUGGGGUCGCGUCACUCCUGCAGUUAAGUCUGGGUCUCAGAACUCUGUGUGUUGUGGGGGUAGGUCCUGGGCACGGCUUCGCGCUUUCACGCCACACUUCUGCAGGCUCUGGUCUCUGCAGCCUGGGGCCCUGCUGGCUUGAGGCGUCAUUUACCAAGGGAAGGGCGCUUCUAGGAGACUAUCAGCUGGAAUCUGCCGCUGCAUCUCCUGAGUCAGUGUGUGAAACGGCGCUGGCCGGACAGGUUAGAGGCCUCAGGAGGAAACUGGGUUCCCACAGCGCCGUGCGGCGAGCGUGUCGGAGAUGCUCUUGUCCUGUGGCAAAGUGGAUUGAAGACCACAGUGCCCAGGAUGGCUGGGGCUGGUGGUGGCGCAGGAGGCGGGUGUGGUGGCUCGACACUGUGCCCUGCCAGCUUCUACUCUAAGCAGUGAUGUCCCGAUGGCACCCUGCUGCCCUCUGAGUCCUCCACUGUUUGCACUUCGGCAAGCUGCUGUCCAUCAGUGGCGGAGCACUCAGAGGGCCUGAGGCAGGCCCAGUAUCUGCACACGUGGGAGUUUCCUGAUGGGCAGCCAUGGCCCGAGGACUGCCCGUCACCAGCCAGUCCCACCUGAGCGCUGGGGUCUGCAGCUCCACCGAAGGCCCCCCCGCCUGGCUGCCUCAUAGGGUCCAGCCUGCACCAUGGUCUUGAGCCUCCCUCUGCCUCUUCCCUCUUUCGCCCCGUUUUCUCUUAGAGACAGUUUCCCCAGGAAAUCUCGUGUACAUCUCAUCUUUUUCUGUGACUGUUUCUCUAAGGAUCUAAACCAAUCCAAGAAAUGCCAGGAGCCAGAAGUGGUCCGAGAAUACAGGCAAUAAGCUGUGGCUCUGGGACUUGUUCCCUGGCCACCUCGUGAGCAGAGGGAUGCUCUCCUGAGUGCCGUGCCUUUGCAGGUGUGGUGAUCCGAAAGAUGACAGGGACAAUGAUUUCAACAAGGCCAACAGAGUUGGCGACAUACUAAGUCAAACUGAUGCUUUGAAAAAAAAUAGCGAGAAACCGAGGGCCUUUAACAAAUGACUAUAGACUGUGGGUGACAGCGGGCUCCUUUGGUAGCUAGAAAGACCCUAUUAAUUUCAGCGGCAGGAAGUGGGGGAUGGAUGUUUGAGGGUGUUUGAUCAGAGGAACUGGAAUAUGAAAUGGACUCUGCGAGAAUUCAUUGACAAGAACACCUUGAGGCAUGCAGGACCCUAGGUUAUGGGCACACAUCCUGCUAGGGGAGCUCUUAGCCGGCUGGGAGAGUGAAGAGCACCUCUGGGCAAAGGAGGAAUGUUGGAGCUGCCCUGGGAAGGUGACAGAGAACAGAAUGCAGAAGCUGAGAGGACUGAGAUGCUGGGGUGGAUAACUAACGCGAGGCUGAGAAUCCCGACAGGGCACUGUAUUCCACGAAGGAGCUCAAGGGUACCCAUUCACAGGGCCACCAGGGAUGUGAGGGUCACACAGCACCAGCAUCACUAGGCGGUUCAUUGGUGGGGUUCCUCCACCAGCCAGGACUGAUGAGAGGAGGGGCAGUCAGGCAAUGCAGUCAUGAAACCACCUGAUGGAACCCCUGGCCGUGGGCUCAGCGAUCAUGGACCCAGCACUGCCCUCUGUGCCAAGGCUGACCCUCAGCCCGUUGUUAGAUGGAAGUGGUACCUUGAAGCGCGAGUCCCAGCAGGACCAAAGAGCCUAAGUUUGUUGCCUGAGCUGGGUCCAGACCCCCUUCUCAUCCACAACCAUUGUGCCAGGGCCCCUUCCCGAGCUCGCAUCAGUUCAACCAGCACAAGGACGAGGAAGUAUCCUGAGCUUGGUUUGUAGGUGCACUGGCCCUGUCGAUGAGCACAAGCCAACGUUUAUGAGGGGCUGCCCCACUGCAGAGGUUGCUGGAAGGCAGUGGUCCGCAGACUGGCUGCCAGGGCGCUGGAAGGGAAAAGACUGGAAGGUUGGACACCAGUGUUUGCACCAGGGGCCUGUGGAUGGACAUAGGGGUGUGGCCACAAGUGAGAGGACUUUGGAUCACAUAUUAACAACCAGCAGAAGCAUGUGUCCUAGGAGAAGCCCUGAACAAGCAAGUAGGUAAAUUGUCUCAGCCAGGGGACCCCUGCCAGCUGUCAUCAUCAGCCACACAAGAACCCCACAGGGGUAUACAGAGAGAGCAGGACGGAGAGAUAACACCACGUGUGCACUCAGUGCACGAGCUCCUGCUCUCUGGACUCUUGUAGGUAGUGCCACCUCUGCAUGUCCGCUUGUUUGGAGCAGAGGCUGACGCUGAGUUCCCGGUAUGGCCUGUGCCUCAAGGACACCAGCAUCCAGGUAGCAAGUUGAUGGCGUUCAUCUCCUUCCAAUAGGUCAUCCUUUCCGGAAUGUAUACCCAGGCUGCAUAUCCAGCACCACUACCCGGGGCUGACAGAAGGUGCCGGAAGGGACCCACCACCCCCCAGCAGGGGAGUGCCAUCUGCUGCUGCAGGAUGGAGGGCAGGCGAGAGGCCAGCUCCCCCGAAGGGAGUGGGGGCACAGUUUUCCGCUGGCAUGCACCUGAGCGUGGGAGGCAUGGAGAGAAGUCUUCUGUUGUUAGGUCGUCCUCUUCUCAUCCUUUAGCCUUUCUUGGGGCAUCUUUGGUCUGUGCCUGUUGGCAGGUCUGGACUUUAGGAGCACAGUAAGGAAACCAGGGAGCCCACUGCUGCCGUGUUCCUCACAUCCCAUGGAACUGAGCCAGCUUCCUCCUCCUCCGUUGCAACUUUCAGAGUCUUCUUUCCUUCUUUGUUAUGUCCAGGGAUUUGAGUAGGAGGAGGGAGCGUCUUGGAGGAAUGGGACCACUCUGUUUUGGCAGAGUCAGAAGUCACCCGAAGUAUAAUUUUAUCAUCUUAGUGUCUUCCAAGUUUCAAGUGACUUUGCCUCUUCCAUUCUUGACAUUGGUUAUUGGUUCCUUCUCUUUCUUUUUGUUCGUGGACAAUCUCAUCAGAUUUAUAAUUUUUACAGUGACAUCUUUCUUGUCAUCUGGGGUAUUUGGAAUUGUUUCUUAAUUUGCCAAAUGUGGAGACUUUUCAUUUUUCUUAUUGAUUUACAGUUUAAUUUGAACCGUUGUCAGGAUUUAUAAGCUGUAUGGUGUCAGUUCAUUAUAAUGUGUUGAGUCUUUGUUUAUGGCUCAGCAUCAAGCCAUUGUUUAUAAAUUUUCCACAUGUAGUUGUAAAAAAAUAUGUGUUCUGGGAUUUCCUAUUGUGGUUCAGCAGGUUAAGAACCCAACAUAGAGUCUGUGAGGAUGUGAGUUCGAUCCCUGGCCUCGCUGAGUGGGUUAAGGGACUGGCGUUGCUGCAAGCUGCAGGAUAGGUCACAGAUGUGGCUCGGAUCUGGUAUUGCUGUGGCUGUGGCAUGGCUUCAGCUGCAACUCCAAUUGAACCCCUAGCCUGAGAACUUCCAUAUGCUGCAGGUGUGGCCAUAAAAAAAAUUUUAAAAAUGUAUCCUGUAAGUUUUUUAAGUUUAUAUACUAGUUAUAUAUGUAUAACAAUACUACCCCAUAAAUUAUAGUAUAUAGUCAUAUCAAGACUUCAUGCUUUUUAUCAUUUUGUAUCCUUAUAACUUAAGAAUGCAGCUGACAUAAAAGUUAUUUUC